CCAAUAGCGUAUAUUAAAGUUGUUGCAGUUAAAAAGCUCGUAGUUGAAUUUCGGAAUCGAUGGAUCGGUCAUGCCAUUCGGUGUGUACUGGUUUAAUUGGUUCUCACCUUCUAAGGAACCGUGAUGUCAUUAAUUUGGUGUCGCGGGAAAUUAGGACUGUUACCUUGAAAAAAUUAGAGUGUUUAAAGCAAGCUCACGCUUGAAUACAUUAGCAUGGAAUAAUGAAAUAGGACAUUGUAUUCUAUUUUGUUGGUUUCUAGGAUCGAUGUAAUGAUUAAUA
rnacentral:rRNA from 1 species